AUAUAUUCUAAAUUGAUAUACAUUCUUAUUAAAUAUUAGUUUUAAGUUACUUUUAAUCUAAACCCAGAUUGAAAGGUAACAAAUAUCUUUACCCAUAAGUUUCUUCUCUUAUUUUGUAUAUCAAUCUAAUUAUAUUUAUUUUCAUUCAUAUUCAUAGAUCUCAUCAUAUUCAUAAAUCUCCUCACACUAAUAUAUUUUAUCCACACUUAUCUCUUUUAUCCACAUUCAUCUCUUUCAUUAACACUCAUAUUUUUCAUCCACACAUCUAUUUUAUCUACUUUUUUUUUUCUCAUAUUCUUGGUCUAUAUUUUUCUCCUCAUCUCCUUUAUACACAUCUUUUUCAUUUACAUUCAUCUUCUCCAUUUACAUUCAACUCCUUAAUUCAUUAUAAUUUUU
rnacentral:lncRNA from 1 species